rnacentral:lncRNA from 1 species
AAUAUACUUUAUACAUACCAUGCUAAAUCAAAGAGAAAUUGAAGAACUUGAAAACCCUAGCUUGAAAUAAUCUUCUUUCUUCUUUGUCGUCUUCUUCUUCUUCUUCAUCUUCUUUCUUCCCUUCUUUUUUCUUCUCUCUCAGGUUCUCUCGAGCCUUCUCUCAUUUUCCCCCAAAAUAUGAGAAAAUGAGUAAUAUAGAUGAUAUUUAAUGGAUAAUUAUUGAAUAAUUGCAAGUCAAGUCCCUCCUUUUAUGUUUUAAAUAAAGUCUAGUCAUUAACUUUCCAUUCUUGUAAAAUAAAUCCUCAAAUUUAAAUGAUGUCCAUGUUAAAUCCUCAAGGAUUGUCAAUUUGUAAAAUAACCCCAAUAAAACAAUUCACUCCAUUAAGGUCCUAUUUAACUUUGACUUUGAAAACUCAACUCUUGAUUUUUGACUAGAUAAAUUGGGUUGUAACAUAUGCCCCCUCUCUUCUGAAGGUUGCCUCCGUGUGUUUUAACAACUACAUUUACAGAAACAAUAAUUGACUAUUUUGUGCAUGCAUAUGUAAUGCUAGCAUGUCAAUUUAGCCAUUGUACAUAUCCUCCAAUUCACUCCUUGUUUGUGCACCGGUGAAUAUAAAAUUCAAUUGGAGGUUGGUUUCAUGGCGGCUGAGAAGGCGGCGGAGGGAAUCUCCAAGUGGCUAAUACAGGAAGUGCAGAAAUGGGGUGCCAUGAAACAGAUGGGUGUUAGCGUCUAUUACAUGAUGAAAUUUAGGUCCCGACCCAUCGAUCGAAAUUUGCUCAUUUCUGCUCAAUUCCUCCACAAGGAGUUACCUAUUCGGAUCGCUCGUCGGGCUAUUUAGUUGGAGUCGCUCUCCUAUGGUUUGUCCCAUAAUCCUGCUGUUUUGAACGUAUAUUUUCCCUUCAGGGUUUUCAAUAUUACCUUUUUAUUUAAUUUGGAUUUUGUUUUCCGCAUCUUAUCUUGUUCGAUAAUUUUUGAGAAUUACGGAUUGAUUAAUUUAAAACGGGUGCUUUUUAUCCAUUUAUGUUUUUGAUCGUGUUUUCUGAUUCGGUUGCGAAAUUAUAUUAAAAGCAGACCAUGUGGAUUAACGGACUGCUUAUGCAUCCUUUUGUUUAUCUAAAUGUGUUUUGAUCAUAUUUAAUUGUUUAGUCAUGGAUGAGAAGUUUCAAAUCAUGAUUUAUGUAUAAGAAUGUUCUUCAAUUUAAUUUGCAUGUUUUUUAUUUUCAAAUGAUAUAUGCCCUUUUGGCAUGAAUUGGACAGUGCAUUGUUGGUAAGUACAAUGUGUACCUUCCAUCUACAUCUUUUUAUCGUAUGACCGUGUCUAAUUUAUUUGCACAAUUAUGCGUGGGGAAUUCUAGAUGCACAAUUGGACCAAGUACUUGAUUCUACUCAAUGUUGAGGUAGCUAUUACAUGAUGUUUCAUUGUUUUUUUCUAUUUUUUUGAGAAAAGAUUGUAUUGUACUAACGAUUAAAUACAUGUUGAUUUCUUAUUUGUCCUCUUACUAGGUAAGAGAUUGGUAUUUGAAUUCUUUCCGUGACCUUAGAUCCUUUCCAGUUAUUAAGGCUAAGAAUGAUGAGUUAGAAUUCACCUAAAUGAUUAAGAUGAUCAAAGUUAGGUACAACAAUGUGGUCCCUAUGAUGGCUUUAGGAGUUCAACAGUUGAAGAAAGAUCUAGAUCCGAAAAUUGAUUUUGAGGAUCUCGGUGAAAUUCAUCAGUUUCUGGAUUGAUUUUAUAUGUCAAGAAUUGGGAUCCAAAUGCUAAUUGGUUAGCCUUUUUUGUUUGCCUGCUUCCAUUCUUACGGGCACAUCUAGUAUUGUUGUUGCGAUACUUAUUUGUAGUAUUGCUAAACAACUUUCAAUUUGCUUCAAAUGAUAACCUCAUGGUAGCAUGUGGCAUUGCACGAUCCAAACCCACCCCCUGAUUGUGUAGUUUAUGGUCAUACGAAAAUGUCCCCUAUUGAGGUUGCAAAAUGUGAUAGUGAGGAUACCCGUUCAAUUUGUUUGUCGGAGUAUGGUAGUGCUCCCACUACAACAAAAACAGCCUUUUAUGACAUUCCUUUACAGCGUGCAUCUAUGGCAUGUUGUAAAAAUAGACUAAUUACGGCGUGCGCUAUAUGUAUGCCGUAAAAGAUUAAUUAAUUAAAGUAUUUAUGGCGUACAUCCUUUGCACGCCAUAUUAAAUGAGAAUUUACGGCAUGCUUUUAGUGCUUGUAGUGUAUGUAAAAAAAUUAAAAUUUACGAAGCCCGCCAAUCUUUUACAGAAACGGCCCAAAUAGUUAAACUUAAAUCCCUCAAAAUUGAAAAGAGCACGAACAGCAGAGUUCAUCCCGCGACUACAGAGAAAUCACUCAAAAUCUGUCGAUCACUGUGAGUCACCGACGCCAUUGGAAGUAUUUGAUUUCAAUUUAUUUCUUUUUCUCACCAUUGCUCGGAUCUCUCCACUUCCCGUAAGCUUCAAUGAACCCUAACAUUCUAAUUCCGGCUUCAGAAUGUUUGAUAUUAUAUUUGUUUGUUAAAACUUGAGGAGGGUUUCUAUUUGAAAAUGAGUUGUUGGGGCCUGGGUAUUAUGUUUAUGUGAUUUGUGGGAUUGAAUGUAGGUGGGAAUUGAUUUGGGCAUGCAUUGGGCAGUGGCCAACGAGUAGCUAUUUCACAACAUUUAGUGCCAAAAUACGAUUUCAUUAUUGAUUUGGAAUGAUUAGAAUCUAUAGUAAGCUUCAGUCACCAAACUUGUAACAUGUCUAUCUACCUUUAAAUUUAUCACCCAAUUAUAAUUUUCUCUAAACUAUGCUCAAAUGGGAACAUAUAUGUACAUGGUAAAAACAAUUCCAUUACUCUGAUUAAAGAUCCUAUUUUACUCUGAGAUGUGUGUACAUGGUGACCCUAUUUACUGUAUAGAUGCUGAAAAAUCCAGUCCACUUCCUCCUGCAAACAAUUUUGCAUCAAGAAACAGAUUUGUAGGCUCAAAAUGUAUCGAGGUCAGGACUGAAGAGAGACAAAUCUCAGACUUCUAAAUUUGCUAUGUGCCAAUCUACAAACCGAGCUUGAAUUGUCUUGAACAAUAGCAGGAUGGUGGGUAAAAGCCACCAUCUCUCAUCCUCCUUGCCAUUACAAAAAAUUGAACUCUCAAUAAUCUACCACAAAACCUAUAGCGCCUGAGCCUCAGUUCCUAAUAUCCCUGGGGGGAUGUUAGGAAGUUUAAGUCAACAAAAUUGAAUAAUCUUAUCUUUGUGAGACUAGAUAGGCUUUUCUUCUACUCUAGUGGCUUUCCCUAUGUAUUCUCAUUCUUAUCUCUAUUCUAUAUAUUUUGAAGUGAUUUUUCAUUUAAAUCUGGUGAAAGCAGAGUUCCUGCACCACCAGUUCAUUCUGUGCAUGGUAUAGUAACUAUUGGGAAUGUACUUUGGAAAGUCUCGGGUAUGACUUGUAUAACUUGUUUUAAACGCUUGGAGAUAAAAUGCCUUUUGCUAAAGGAGGGACUAUUCUCAUUCAUAAAAUGGGAAUAUGAGAUGAUCUUAAAUUAUAGAUAAUUGCAGAGAUUGGUGAAUUCAUUAAUUUAUGCUCAUGUUAGAUUUUUUAGCCUAUAAAUUUUUGCAGAAGUUUUGCAUGUUAUGUUGGAGUUAUUUCAUCGAUGUUUAUGCUUCAUAGUUUUUGCAAUUUCAAUGGUGUUUAUAGGAAAUUGUUUUGGAAAGUUCGUGCUUCGUUUUCAAUUUCAAUUGCUUCUUUACGGUAAUGUAUUCAUUGACCAUUUCUAGCAGUGGCAUACAAUGGAAUGAACUAUGGACCAAAUGAAGUUGGAGGGAAGUAUCAGACCAAUCGGGUUCAGAACAAGGUCUACUAUGAUCUUCACACAUUUUGACUAAACUUUUUUCUAGUUGUGUUGCAGCCAAAAUGUUGGAUUGGAAUUUUAUUCUUAAAUAAAUGCCUUGUUGGUAUAUAUGGUCUCUGAACUUAAUUACAAAAUAUUCUUUUCAUUUACUAAGAGGUAGGAAAAAUGUGGCUCUAAACACAUCUCUUCUCACCACUGCUCCAAAUUUCCUGUAACUGGGUUUUGAGACUAGCCUUUUUGGUUCUCAUUCCCCCUUUAAGUUCGUAGUCGUUAAUAUAAUUUUAUAAAUUGCUAGCUAUCAUUCUUAUGAAUUUUAUGGUCUCGUUAUUUUCACAAAUGGACCUUUUGUUUAUGAUAGUGACUAAAGAAUAUUAAUUCUCGUUGCCACCAUUUAUCUAGUCUAGUUUCUUUAUAAAUUGAUCUAUGAUGUCUUGUGGUUAACCUUCGGCUAUGGUUUUGAGUCACAUUGUCCUGGUUUUUAUUUUUCUUUUUAGUUGCUGUUAGUUAAAUAACGUAGAUGCAUAUUCUUUCAUUACUUGAAAUUGGAUUGGUUCAUGAAGUCCAAGAAGUUGCACAAGUAAUGGAGUCAAAAGCACAAGUAGCCAUGACUUGGGUAUGUCUAGUUUGCUCUUCUAGCAAUUUUUUUAUCUUAUUUUACUUGUUUUGUUGUUUACUCUUAAAUUUUGGACAAGAACCAUAACAAAGAGGACCUUACUCAUAAAUUUCAGUAGCCAUAUACACCAGGCCAAGUGAAAUGAAAUUGAUGUUUGUUACUUGGUAUUUAUUUCAUAAAGGUACACCAUGAUUAAUUACUUUUCCUCUUUAUUUUUGGUUCCAGGACUAUUCAGUCUCACAGACUAAAAAAAAGCAUAUGGCAUGUAGCAAUUCGGUAUCCGUUGACCAUGUUACAAGCUACAAAUCUGGUCCAAAUGCUUGCUUGCCAACAGAAGAUCACCAUGAUUGUGGGAUGUCUUCAAUAUGGGUCGAAUAUUUUGUACUAUUUUAAUAAGUUAUUUUUGGAGUUGUAAUCGAUACUUUUGGUAUAUUGAUAUCGACUUUUUGACUAAGCUAAUGAUGUUCUCUACAUUUUUGAAUAUUGUAUUUGAUAGCACUUAAUAUUUUUAUUCAUUGAAAUUAUGCAAAACAUGAUUAUAUUAUAUGUGUUAGUAUAUAUAGUCCUUUUAAUUAUUAAUUAUUAUAAGCUUGUUGGUAAAUAAAUAAAUAAAUAUUUUUAACAAAUGAAAUUCACAUUUACGGCAUGUAAGUGCACGCCAUAAAAGAGUUGAGUAUUUAUAGCAUGCAAGUGCACGCCGUGAAAAAUAUAUUAAUGGCAUGUUUUUCAUUGCAUGCCGUAAAAGGAUGCUAGUAUUUACGGCAUGACUUUCUAUGGCAUGAGCCUAUACGUCGUAAAUAACUUUGCACACCUUAAAGAGUAAACUUUGUUGUAGUAUCCGAAUGUCAAUAUCUAUGGGGAUCCUAACUUUAAUUUUCCGUAAGUUACUUUAGUCUUUAUCUCAAUGUACAUAGUUUUCAAUCAUGCAGUGUCUUUUUUCAGCUGCUAAAUAUUAUUUGAAGCUGAAGUUUUUAGAAGUUUCUCCUUUUCCUUAUUAACUUUUUUUUUUUUUUUUUUAUUUGGUGCUCCUAUGGCAGCCACGAAUUACAAAUGUCUGGAAAAGCUCUAUUGCUAUUUCGCGCGACAAGGUAAACCUUAUGCGAAAGAAAAAAAACAUAAGUAUACGCUUUAGGUCGACAUAUAUCUCUAUCGGCUGACAAAGCAAGAAGAAUAAUUGAUCAAAUUUGUGGAUGCUCCUAUGAGGAAACACUUAUGCGUUUGAUUACCCACAAGUGAACGAGAUCGUAAACAGAUAAUAAAGUGGUGUGUAAAGUGUCGAACCCACGAUGACUAUAUGUUUGAUCGAGUUAAAGCUAAUAAUUCCCUUAUUCGAAUAGCAAGGUCGAGUUGUAACUAACUUUAUUAAAUCUAUCAAUUAAAUAGAAAGCAAAGAAAAAGUUUAUCAAAUUUGCGAGAAGUAUUACUAAGAUGUGGAAUCCUCUUUGCUACUCCAUUUUAGUUCGAUAAUUUAAACUGACAAUUUGAAAUCAUGCUUGUUGGUCAAUGUUCCUAUUUUAUUUAAAAGCCUAUUUCGAUAGUAAUUAAAUCUAAUCCUACACUUGAUUUUACUAUAUCUCUAUGAAAAAUACGAACGUCUAAAAAAAUAUUAACGAGCUAGAACAUCUUUAACAACCAUGUAAAGCAUCGAGGUAUAUCUCUAUUAUCUAUCGAAUCUCACGUCGUCUAUUAUUAGGAGCUAAAGAUCCUAUUAUCUCUCUCGAUGACAAUAAAAUCCACAAACAAUUCAAUUAUUGGCCAAGUAAUUGAAAAACAAGUUAAACCAUAGUAAACACCCAAACAAUUAAGCGAAUUUAACGUCAAGGAAUUAAAUAAAUAAAGUUGGAGCAACAUCACCGAGUAAUUGACGGAACGUGAAUGAUUUCCAAAUUCCUUCCAAAGCUGCCACCUCAAUCUGCGUCGGUUCCAAAUUAAUUCAUGUAAUCAGCCGCCAAUUUGUAUAUAUUUUUUUGCGCUUUUCUUCUAUGUUUUUCUCCAGCCAACUGCUGACUUUAUUUGCAGCAACCAACUGAAAUUUUUGACUCCAAAACAACUCGCCAAAUCAGCCGAAAUCGCUUUCAGUUUCUGCCACUUUUCUCCACAAGCUACCGCUUUUUAUCCUUCAGUUUCUGUCCCCCCCCCCCCCCCCCCCCCCCCCCCACCGUCCGUUUUCUGUUGGCAUUUAUAUAUGAUUUCUACAGCAGCCUACUUUUUUGUAGUCCAAUUCCCAGCAACUCGGCUUUUGUUUUGUGCCUAAUCUAAUAAUCUUGGCUGCUUCUCUCUGCGUGUAUGUGUGUAUAUAUCAACUCCAGGAGGCUACUAUCUGUGUAUAUAAAAUCAAUUCCAGCCGCCUAUAUACGUGUACAAUAAUCAAUCCCCAAAUUGGCUGCUAAUGCUUGAUUUUAUAAUCCUCACAUCAACUUUAAUGCUUUAACUUGUGCAAUUCCAGCCCCUUUUUUUUUAUCAAAUUCAGCCACCCAAUUGUAUUGGUAAUCCAAUGUUUUCCCUUAGCCGGCUCUCUCUACGUGUACAAUCUCCCUCAACUCCUUUUCUUUUAGCCUCCCUUGCUCCAAGAAAACUGCCGUCUUCUAUAUAUAUAUUCAAGCUGGAAACCCUUUUUGAAU